rnacentral:lncRNA from 1 species
CCACACAAGCAUUUACUUCCUUAGCUUCGCUGCCUCUGUGUAGCUCACUCCUUUGUAAGCAAGAAGGGCAACUCUAAAAGUCACUGAAAAUCACCCUUCCCAGAAUCUGCAAUUAGCAUUAACCGUCUUAGUGCUGCAGGGUGAGCUCCAUUUGCCUUACUGUUAUUUUAUCACUUGUUUCUCAAGGUCCAAGGGGGAAGAGCCACAUAUUUCCCUUCAAGAGCUCCUGCGUAUUCGAAGGCAGCCAGUUUCUCUUGUCCAGUCUCCAGUCCACUCAUCCCUAAUGGGCCUCCCAUCCUCCGGUGCCUGCCACUUCUGUCUUAUGGUAAGUUCUGGGAAGUGUGGGACCGGGGCUCUGGAAUGGGAGAGGGGCCGGGAGGGCUGAUGAAAGCUCAGAUCCACUCCCAUCCCUUUCCUUGACCACACUGGGAAUGUAAUUACUCUAUUUUCACCCUAGGCGCUACACAAGGAAAAUAGCAGGGGACAAAAGUUAGCGGAAAAUGGUCAUUAGACAAUUCCGGAAAGCUCCAGACUGCAAGCCAAGUGCAAGGCCCUUCUCUGAAUGACGGGGUCAGACCACACCCUGCCUGUUAGUCCUUCUCCCAGAAAGGACGGUGUGGGUAAAAUCCUCAGGACACUGGGCAUGUCAGUUAUGGCAUGAUUAUAAGGCCAUUAGCAGAGGCCAGGGUGCAUGCUCAGGGUGGGACCCUGCUAGGAAAAGAGACAUUCCCAGACAACACAAAUGGCUUGUUCCUGGGAGGAGACACUUUGCCAGGGAGGUGGGGCUGUGCUGUGGGCCCUGACUUGGCUGCAGGCCCCUCUGCUGGAGCUCCACAGCAGGUUCUGCGCCACCCUGGGCCUCAGCUUCCAAAACAACCACAGGAGGACAGGCUUUGUUCCCCAGAGCACUGGAAGAAAGUACAAAAUAAAAGAACUUUCCCUACACAGGGCUGGAGGAGGGCCCUGGCAGGGUGCCAGCCCCCGAGAAAAAGCUGCAGUGCCACAGCUCCGGGCCAGAGACUGACUGGUUGGGCGGGAGGCAGCCCAGGCCUCGGCCAGGUCUGCUACCCCCAGAUCACUUCCUGCUCCCUGGGCCACCUUGAAGCCCUAGAUAUGGAGACCCUUCUCACUCUUCAAUACAUAAACUUUCCAGUUUUAUGAAAAAGAGGAAAAAUACUUUUCAUAAUGCAAAUAUUUAGCUUUAAUAGCUUUAUGUGUACUCUGCCAAUAAUUGCAUAUAUACAUAUCUAUGUAUAUAUAUUUUUUCUUUUUCUUUUUUCUUUUGGUAGUAGGAGUUGAACCCAGCAGCACUUAACCACUAAGACACAUCCCCAGCUCUAUUUUGUAUUUUAUUUAGAGACAGAGUCUCACUGAGUGCUUAGUACCUCACUUUUGCUGAGGCUGGCUUUGAACUUGCAAUCUCUUGCCUCAGCCUCCCGAGCUGCUGGGAUUCCAGGUGUGCGCCACCAUGUCCAGCUCUAUGUAUAUAUUUUUAAUCUAGAACAUACCAUAAUUAUGUAAUACAUUUACUUUUAAGAAAUUUUAUUAACUGGGUACGGUGGCACACACCUAUAAUCCAGCAGCAUGGGAAGCUGAGGCAGGAGGACAGGAGGAUGGCAAGUUUGAGGCCAGUCUCAGCAAUUUAGUGAGGCCCUAAGCAACUUAGCCAGUCUCUAUUCUCAAAAUCAAUUUUUUUUUUAAAUGGGCUGGGGAUGUGGCUCAGUGAUUAAGCUCCCCUGGGUUCAAUCCCUGGUACCAAAAUAAAAAACAAAAAGGUGGAAAGUAUAGCAUUACAUUUAUCAACUUAACCAUUUCGAAAUGUCUAGUUCAGUAGUGUUAGUUACAUUUAUAUUGUUGUGCGAUAAAUUUUUAGAAUGCUUUCAUCUUACAAAAUAAUCUCUGCAUCUACUAAACCCUGAUUUUUUCUCCCCCAGCCCUUGGCAAUUCCCUUUCAACUUUCGAUUUCUAUGAUUUUGACUACUUUCGGUACUUCAUAUGAAUAUAAUCAGGCAGGAUUUGUAGGAUGUGAACUGCCUUAUCUCUCUUAGAUAAUGUCCUUAGGCUUAUCCAUUUUGUCGCAUAUGGCAAGAUUUCUUUUUAUAAGGCAGCAUAAUAUUGCUCUAAAUGUCACUUUUUCAUUUAAAAAAAUAUAUUAGCUCUUUUUAGUUAUAAAUAACAGUAGAAUCCAUUUUGACAUAAAAGCAUGCGAUCUAUCCUGUUCUCAUUCAGGGCCCAGCACCUCCCCUUCCGCUCCCCUCCCAAACACCACUUUUUUUUUUUAACCCUUAAUCAGUCAGAGGAUGUUUGGGUUGCUUCUAUGUCUUGGCUACUAGGAAUAACAUAAUGAUAAACUGGGUAUGCAAAUCUCUCUUUGAAACCCUGCUUUGAAUUCUUUCGAAUGUAUAUACAGAAGGGGCUCAUUCUGAUUUCAAUUGUUUUAGGGACUCCCACUGUUUUCCAUAAUAGCUGCAGGACUUUACAUUCCCACCAACCGUGUGUCAAUUUCUCAGUAUUCUCACCAGCACUUCAGUUUUCUCCUCUAGUGACCCAGGCCAUCCUAAUGGGUGUGAAGUCAUUUCCUCACUGUGGUUUGAAUCUGCAUUUCUCUCCUGAUUAGUGACAUCUGACUCCUUACCUCUGUUGACCAUUCCUAUAGCUUCUUUGGGGAGUUGUUUAUGCAAGUCCUUUGCCUGAUUUUAAAAUCCGGUUAUCAUUGGAUUGUUUGUUGUUGCUCUGGAAUUGUAGAAGUUUCUUAUAUAUGCCCGAUACAAAUAAAUCCUGCAUCCGAUUAUAAUUUAUAAAUGCGUUUAUGCUUUUUCCCAUUUCAUAGGUGUUUUUUUGUUGGUUUUUUUUUGUUUGUUUGUUUUAGGGGUUUUUUUUUUGGGGGGGGGGGGGCUGGGGAUUGAACCCAGGGCCUUGUGCAUGCAAGACAGACAGACACUCUACAAACUGAGCUAGAUCCCCAGCCCCUAAUUUUUUUUUAAAUAUUUUUUUUUCAGUUGUAGUUGGACACAAUACCUUUAUGUUAUUUAUUUAUUUUUAUGUGGUGCUAAGGAUCAAACCCAGUACCUUGCACGUGCUAGGCGAGUGUUCUGCUACUGAGUACUGAGCCACAAGCCCAGCCAGCCCCUCAUUGUUUUUUUUUUUUUUUUUUUGGGGUUUUUUUUUUGGGGGGGGGGGUGCUGGGGAUUGAACCCAGGGCCUUGUGCAUGCAAGACAGACAGACACUCUACAAACUGAGCUAGAUCCCCAGCCCCUAAUUUUUUUUUAAAUAUUUUUUUUUCAGUUGUAGUUGGACACAAUACCUUUAUGUUAUUUAUUUAUUUUUAUGUGGUGCUAAGGAUCAAACCCAGUACCUUGCACGUGCUAGGCGAGUGUUCUGCUACUGAGUACUGAGCCACAAGCCCAGCCCCUCAUUGUUUUUUUUUUUUACUAUAAUUAUUUUCUUUGCAGAAAUUUUCAUUGUGUUAGAGUCCUAUUUGUCUAUUUGCUUCUUUUGCCUGGGUUCCUGGUGUUACAUCCCUGACAUCAUUGCCAAAUCCAGUGUUCUGAAGCUUCUCCCUUACAUUUUCUUCUGGGAAUUUUAAUUAUUUAUUUAUUUUUGGUACUGGGAAUUGAACUCUGGGACACUCAACCACUGAGCCACAUCCCCAGCCUUCUGGGAAUUUUAUACUUUUAGGUUUUACAUUCAGAUCUUUAAUCCAUUGUGGGUUUAUUUGGUAUAUAGUAUAAGGUAGGGGCCGGGCUUCCUUCUUUGGCAUGUGGCUAUACAGCUUGUUGGAGUGACUUUUCUUUUCCUAAUUUUCUCAUAUUUAUCUUUUCACAUGAAGCAAAUAUAUACUUACAUCAUAAUUUUUUUGGGGGGGUGCUGGGGAUCAAACCCAGGGCCUUACGCAUGCAACACAAGUACUCUACCAACAGAGCUAAAUCCCCAGCCCACAUCAUAAUUUUUUUAAGAAUUUUUUUUAAAGAGUGAGAGAGAGAGAGAGAGAGAGAGAAUUUUUUUUUUUUAAUAUUUAUUUAUUUUUUUUUAGUUUUCGGCGGACACAACAUCUUUGUUUGUAUGUGGUGCUAAGGAUCGAACCUGGGCCGCACGCAUGCCAGGCGAGCGCGCUACUGCUUGAGCCACAUCCCCAGCCCCCUUAAUUUUUUUUUAAUAUUUAUUUAUUUUUUUUUUUUUUAGUUGUAGUUGGACACAACACCCUUAUUUGUUUGUAUGUGGUGCUGAGGAUCAAACCCAGGGCCUUGCGCUUGCUAGGUGAGCAUGCUAUCACUGAGCCACAACGUCAGCCCCCCCACACAUCAUAAUUUUUAAGCCUGCAUAGCAUUACAAGUGAACACACAUACUGUGACUUAUCCAACUAAUCCUGUUCUAUCAAACAGCAUAGAUGUAUUUCAUUGACUCCUUUGUAGAUAAAUGCCUUCUCUCUCUACAGGCUCAGUCUGGCUCUGUGGAGCUUUCCUGGUCCUUCAGGCUUUGCUGCAAAUAAACACCAUCGGGGCCCCCUUGUAAGUGCUGCCUUCAUUGUUGCUGAAGGUUUUCAUUUUCAGCCAUGCUGACAUUACACAGAAAUUCAGUGGCCUUUCCUUGUGGUGAGAAGGCACAGCUGGAGGGAGGCAUGGGUCCUAAUCCCAGCUCUGGUAUGGUAAGAAAGCACAGUGUGACUUGUAGGUGGAAUCCUCUCC